CGUAAGGUGCCGAAUGAGUCAUUAAAAAAUUAACAUCAUCCGAUCCCUAGUCGGCAUAGUUUAUGGUUAAGACUACGACGGUAUCUGAUCGUCUUCGAUCCCCUAACUUUCGUUCUUGAUUAAUGAAAACAUCCUUGGCAAAUGCUUUUCGCAGUAGUUAGUCUUCAAUAAAUCCAAGAAUUUCACCUCUGACAAUUGAUACUAAUGCCCCCAACUAUCCCUAUUAAUCAUUACGUCAAUCCUAGAAACCAACAAAAUAGGAUCGAACGUCCUAUUUCAUUAUUCCAUGCUAAUGUAUUCAAGCGCGAGCCUG
rnacentral:rRNA from 1 species